rnacentral:rRNA from 1 species
UACGUAGGGUGCGAGCGUUGUCCGGAAUUACUGGGCAUAAAGAGCUCGUAGGUGGUUUGUCGCGUUUGUCCGUGAAAAACUCACAACUCAAUUGUGGGCGUGCGGGCGAUACGGGCAGACUGGAGUACUGCAGGGGAGACUGGAAUUCCUGGUGUAGCGGUGGAAUGCGCAGAUAUCAGGAGGAACACCGGUGGCGAAGGCGGGUCUCUGGGCCGAUACUGACGUGAGGAGCGAAAAGCGUGGGGGAGCAAAACAGG